GAGACCUCCGAGCUGCCUAGACGGGACCCGGAAGUGCGCGCCGGGGAGCCCGAGUUUCCAGUCGUGCCCGGGGACCGAGGGCGCCGCCGCUGCGGAGCGGCUGCGCGAUGACUGCCCGUCCGUUGUGCCGCGCUCUGAAGAAAUUUUAGAGGAGGUCUUGUCUUUGGAACAGCACUGGGGAUUGGAUCCAGCCCAUGGAGAAGCUGCCUGAGCAGAUAACCCCGGAGUCCCUGUCCCCAUCCUCCAAGCAGGAGCCCCGAAAGAGCAAGGCCCCAAGGCUCUAUUACAUGUAAAUAAAGCCUGUAACCAACGUUUCCUCUCGACUGUGUGGAGCAGACCUGCAGCACAGUAGUAUCCUAGCACUAAGUCUAGGAGGAUCUGUCAUUCCAGCACCUGCCAACUUGCUUGGCCUUUGGAGAAGCUCAGUAAAUGUGUGAAUAAAUAAAUGAAUGAACUCA